rnacentral:lncRNA from 1 species
AAAAUUGGAGUGAUCAUGUUGGAAGUAAGUGAAAGCCACUUAUUUAUAUGAUACUAUCUUGCAUCUCACUACAUUCUUGACUUGUUAGCAGAUAGAUGAGGUGUAAUGAAACUUGAGUUAGAGUCUGUUUAAAUAUGAUAGCAACAAGUCUCUAUUGUCCUUGCAAUUCUAGUUUAAUACAGUAAUACUUAUUCAAAUUUCGAGUUAAAAAUUAGAAAUCCCUGACUAAUGAAGUUUGUGGGUAACUUCACUGCAAAUCCUCACGAGACAACACUCGUCCACUAGGGUAACCUAGGAGUUUAACGGCUUGUUGCACGUGCUAAGUGCAAUCGUAAUGCUCUACGAAAGUGAGUAUUUAUCUUAGUAUAUUUAUAUAAUAAAGAACACUUUUGUACUCUUAUUUUAUCAUUUUCGCACUAAAUUGCUAGAGACUAGCAAUAAGCUAGUUGGGGGGGUGUGAUGAGAGCACAAAAGUGCAAUCAUCGUACUAUCUUAAUUAUUAUAGUUAAUCUUUAAUGAUAAAAUUAAUUAAUUAACGUUGUAUUUGUGUUUGAGUGCAAGUAAUCCAAGAGACCCAAAUAACAUUGGGUUUGAGCCCAAUGCCCGGCAGCCCGAACUCAACAAAUUCUCCAGCUGCCAUGCAAGCAUUAAAUUUCGCGCCGUCCAUCAGAUCACCUUCCAAAUCAGUCCCGCAUCAAGGCCCCGCGAUCAUUUCCUUCUCGGCCAUCUGCCCAGCCAAUCAUCAACAUCCCGAAUAAAUCCACUUCGAUCGGCUCCUCCACGCCAUCAACGCAAUCAAAGCAACGUCCCACGAUCAGCAGCCGUCCAUUUCAAGGAGUUCCUUUAGCUGUGAAGCCAAAGAUUCAAACUCCUUCUCGUGAUCCCGCAACGUCCCAGCUCCUUCCCAAAUCAAGCCGAAGCCGCAUCCCAGCCGUUCGUGGUCCCCGUUCCUUCUCCAUUUGAGCAUUCCGGGCAAGUUCCAGCAUCCUCCUCUCUUCCGGAUUCAAACCGUCCGCGUCGCUCCCUCAGCCAUUCUCUCAGCCCGGAUGACUGCCUCUCCUAUGAUCGCGUCCAGCCGCCCGUGAUGUGGACGCUAGUCCGUAAUCCCAGCCUCCGACGCCGCGUCCGAGCUCCAACGAUCAUCGACCCCCUCCUCCGCAAUCCGCCCAGUGAUCCCGUGCUGUGAUCAAGCCGCCGUCUCAGCCUCCCAUCUCCU